UGAGUAACACGUGGGUAACCUGCCUGCAAGACCGGGAUAACUUCGGGAAACCGGAGCUAAUACCGGAUGAUCUCCUUUUCCGCAUGGAGAAGGACUGAAAGGACGGCGCAAGCUGUCGCUUGCAGAUGGGCCCGCGGCGCAUUAGCCAGUUGGUGAGGUAACGGCUCACCAAGGCGACGAUGCGUAGCCGACCUGAGAGGGUGAUCGGCCACACUGGGACUGAGACACGGCCCAGACUCCUACGGGAGGCAGCAGUAGGGAAUCUUCCGCAAUGGACGAAAGUCUGACGGAGCAACGCCGCGUGAGCGAUGAAGGCCUUCGGGUCGUAAAGCUCUGUUGUCAGGGAAGAACAAGUGCGGGAGUAACUGCCCGCACCUUGACGGUACCUGACCAGAAAGCCACGGCUAACUACGUGCCAGCAGCCGCGGUAAUACGUAGGUGGCAAGCGUUGUCCGGAAUUAUUGGGCGUAAAGCGCGCGCAGGCGGUCCCUUAAGUCUGAUGUGAA
rnacentral:rRNA from 1 species